rnacentral:rRNA from 1 species
GAUGAACGCUAGCGAUAGGCUUAACACAUGCAAGUCGAGGGGCAUCACGAAUUAGCAAUAGUUUGGUGGCGACCGGCGCACGGGUGCGUAACACGUAUACAACCUACCUUCAAUUGGGGAAUAACCUGGAGAAAUUUGGACUAAUACCCCAUAGUAAACGGAAGAGGCAUCUUUUUUGUUUUAAAGAUUUAUUGAUUGGAGAUGGGUAUGCGUAGGAUUAGCUAGUUGGUAAGGUAACGGCUUACCAAGGCGACGAUCCUUAGGGGUUCUGAGAGGAAGGUCCCCCACACUGGUACUGAGACACGGACCAGACUCCUACGGGAGGCAGCAGUGAGGAAUAUUGGUCAAUGGUCGAGAGACUGAACCAGCCAAGUCGCGUGAAGGAAGACGGCUCUAUGAGUUGUAAACUUCUUUUGUACAGGAGUAAAGUGAGACACGCGUGUUUUAUUGCAAGUACUGUACGAAUAAGCAUCGGCU